GACGAACGCUGGCGGCGCGCUUAACACAUGCAAGUCGUGCGGUGUCGAAGGCAAGUCUUACGACAAGCCUUCGACACAGCGGCGAACGGGUGAGUAACACGUGAGUAGCUGUCCUAAGGAGGGGGAUAACGCCUGGAAACGGGUGCUAAUACCCCAUAUGCCUCGCAAGAGGUAAAAGUGUACUUGUUACAGCCUUAGGGUGUGCUCGCGGCCUAUCAGCUAGUUGGUGAGGUAACGGCUCACCAAGGCUAAGACGGGUAGCCGGCCUGAGAGGGUGUACGGCCACACUGGAAUUGAGAUACGGUCCAGACUCCUACGGGAGGCAGCAGUGGGGAAUCUUGGGCAAUGGGCGAAAGCCUGACCCAGCGACGCCGCGUUGGGGAUGAAGCCCUUCGGGGCGUAAACCCAUGUUGUAGGGGACGAAGAAAGUGACGGUACCCUACGAGAAAGCCCCGGCCAACUACGUG
rnacentral:rRNA from 1 species